rnacentral:rRNA from 1 species
UGCAGUCGAGCGGUAGAGAGGUGCUUGCACCUCUUGAGAGCGGCGGACGGGUGAGUAAAGCCUAGGAAUCUGCCUGGUAGUGGGGGAUAACGCUCGGAAACGGACGCUAAUACCGCAUACGUCCUACGGGAGAAAGCAGGGGACCUUCGGGCCUUGCGCUAUCAGAUGAGCCUAGGUCGGAUUAGCUAGUUGGUGAGGUAAUGGCUCACCAAGGCGACGAUCCGUAACUGGUCUGAGAGGAUGAUCAGUCACACUGGAACUGAGACACGGUCCAGACUCCUACGGGAGGCAGCAGUGGGGAAUAUUGGACAAUGGGCGAAAGCCUGAUCCAGCCAUGCCGCGUGUGUGAAGAAGGUCUUCGGAUUGUAAAGCACUUUAAGUUGGGAGGAAGGGCAUUAACCUAAUACGUUAGUGUUUUGACGUUACCGACAGAAUAAGCACCGGCUAACUCUGUGCCAGCAGCCGCGGUAAUACAGAGGGUGCAAGCGUUAAUCGGAAUUACUGGGCGUAAAGCGCGCGUAGGUGGUUCGUUAAGUUGGAUGUGAAAUCCCCGGGCUCAACCUGGGAACUGCAUUCAAAACUGUCGAGCUAGAGUAUGGUAGAGGGUGGUGGAAUUUCCUGUGUAGCGGUGAAAUGCGUAGAUAUAGGAAGGAACACCAGUGGCGAAGGCGACCACCUGGACUGAUACUGACACUGAGGUGCGAAAGCGUGGGGA